rnacentral:rRNA from 1 species
UACGUAGGGCGCAAGCGUUGUCCGGAAUUAUUGGGCGUAAAGAGCUCGUAGGCGGUUUGUCGCGUCUGCUGUGAAAACCUAAGGCUCAACCUUGGGCUUGCAGUGGGUACGGGCAGACUAGAGUGCGGUAGAGUGACUGGAAUUCCUGGUGUAGCGGUGGAAUGCGCAGAUAUCAGGAGGAACACCGAUGGCGAAGGCAGGUCACUGGGCCGCAACUGACGCUGAGGAGCGAAAGCAUGGGGGAGCGAACAGG